CCUACGGGUGGCAGCAGUGGGGAAUAUUGCACAAUGGGGGAAACCCUGAUGCAGCGACGCCGCGUGAGUGAAGAAGUAAUUCGUUAUGUAAAGCUCUAUCAGCAGGGAAGAAAAUGACGCUACCUGAGUAAGAAGCCCCGGCCAAAUACGUGCCAGCAACCGCGGGCAUACGUAGGGGGCAAGCGUUAUCCGGAUUUAAGGGGUGGAAAGGGAGCGUAGACGGCAAUGCAAGUUUGGAGUGAAAGGCGCGGGCUCAACCCCCGGACUGCUCUGGAAACUGUAGGGCUGGAGUGCAGGAGAGGUAAGUGGAAUGCCUAGUGUAGCGGUGAAAUGCAUAGAUAUUAGGAGGAACACCAGUGGCGAAGGCGGCUUACUGGACUGUAACUGACGUUGAGGCACGAAAGCGUGGGGAGCGAACAGGAUUAGAUACCCGGGUAGUC
rnacentral:rRNA from 1 species